GUUUUUACUUGAAAACAUGACAGUGCGACCAGACAGGCCCUAUAUCCUGGUUGAUGAACCAUGACCGUGCGACCAGAGCGUGAUUAACGGCUAAGAUCAUCUUUAGAUGUAUCCGGUGCUGUAGAGGAUCGUUACCCGGCUCGGUCUAAACCUUGCAGGGGCGGUUGCACGGCGGUCUGACAGGCU
rfam:Brassica rapa chromosome A10, whole genome shotgun sequence.